rnacentral:rRNA from 1 species
UACGGAGGGUGCAAGCGUUAAUCGGAAUUACUGGGCGUAAAGCGCACGUAGGCGGCUUUGUAAGUUAGAGGUGAAAGCCCGGGGCUCAACUCCGGAAUUGCCUUUAAGACUGCAUCGCUAGAAUUGUGGAGAGGUAAGUGGAAUUCCGAGUGUAGAGGUGAAAUUCGUAGAUAUUCGGAAGAACACCAGUGGCGAAGGCGACUUACUGGACACAGUAUUGACGCUGAGGUGCGAAAGCGGUGGGGAGCAAACAGGG